AUGGAUCUCUUGGGAGAAUGUUGGGUGCCUCCUGUACAUCUUCGUGAAUUGGUGUCGUGCAUGCCCACCCAACUCUCUGCACUGCGAGGGUGGAUAAAGAGAGACACCUCGUGUCUCUCGAACCUCUCCGAGUUAUUCCUCUGGCGAGUGAAGGAAGUGCAUCAGGAGGACAUGGAAAUCAUUGGGGGGUUGUUGUCCCUUCGCCGUCUCUGGAUAAGGAGCACCCACCAAACACAGCGGCUGCUAGUCAUCCGUGCUGAUGGGUUCCACUGUAUGGUAGACUUUGAGUUGAAUUGUGGAUCAGCAGCGCAAAUCAUGUUUGAACCAGGGGCUUUGCCGAACGCAGAAGCAGUUGAGUUCAGCCUGGGCGUGCGGGUGGCGAAAGAGGAUGGUAACUGUGGUUUCGACCUGGGCCUGCAGGGGAACCUGCUCUCCCUUCGGAAGCAUGACAGGGUUAUUUUUUAUUGUGGUGGAGCGAGGGUUGGGGAGGCCAAGCAAGCAGAGGCUGCGGUGAGGCACGCACUCGAUGCCCAUCCCAACCAUCCGUGGAUUUCAAUUGGCAUGAACCUGGAUAUAGCAGAAGGGUAG
rnacentral:rRNA from 1 species